CUAAUCUCAUGGGGGUGCCACGUCGGCUGAGAGGUCUGAGCGACCAACCCCUUGAACCUGAUCCGGCUUGCACCGGCGGAGGGAAUUGGGAUGAUGCUGAAA
rnacentral:ncRNA from 2 species